rnacentral:rRNA from 1 species
AUUGAACGCUGGCGGCAGGCCUAACACAUGCAAGUCGAACGAGUGGCGGACGGGUGAGUAAUGUCUGGGAAACCGCCCGAUGGAGGGGGAUCACUACUGGAAACGGUAGCUAAUAACGCAUACCAUCGGAUGUGCCCAGAGGGGAUUAGCUGGUAGGUGGGGGAACGGCGCACCUAGGCGACUAUCCCUAGCUGUUCUGAGAGGAUGACCAGCAACACUGGAACUGAGACACGGUCCAGACUCCUAAGGGAGGCAGCAGUGGGGAAUAUUGCACAAUGGGCGCAAGCCUGAUGAAGCCAUGCCGCGGGUAUGAAGAAGGCCUUCGGGUUGUAAAGUACUUUCAGCGAGGAGGCGUUACUCGCAGAAGAAGCACCGGCUAACUCCGUGCCAGCAGCCGCGGUAAUAC